rnacentral:misc_RNA from 1 species
CAAGUACUUGGCUUCUCCAAAAUUUAGUGGCUUUGAUUUCACACCAUCAAAUGUCUAUUCGUCUGACAUAAUUUCAUCGAUGGGUUCUAUUGGGAAUCCUAGCAGCUUGGACGAUCAUGCUUUGCAGGGUUUUGAUUCUAUGGUUGUAAGAUAUGAUCAGAUACCAAGUUCCCCAAACUUUGCCAACUCUUCUCUGAUCUGCGAUUCCGAGCCACUAAACUCAUCUUUCUUUG